rnacentral:rRNA from 1 species
GACUCCUACGGGAGGCAGCAGUGGGGAAUAUUGCACAAUGGGCGCAAGCCUGAUGCAGCCAUGCCGCGUGUAUGAAGAAGGCCUUCGGGUUGUAAAGUACUUUCAGCGGGGAGGAAGGCGAUAAGGUUAAUAACCUUGUCGAUUGACGUUACCCGCAGAAGAAGCACCGGCUAACUCCGUGCCAGCAGCCGCGGUAAUACGG